GGUUUGAUUAUGGCUCAGAUUGAACGCUGGCGGGAUGCUUUACACAUGCAAGUCGAACGGCAGCACGGACUUCGGUCUGGUGGCGAGUGGCGAACGGGUGAGUAAUGUAUCGGAACGUGCCUAGUAGCGGGGGAUAACUACGCGAAAGCGUAGCUAAUACCGCAUACCCUUCGGGGGAAAGCGGGGGACCUUUCGGGCCUCGCACUAUUAGAGCGGGACAUAUAUCGGAUUAGCUAGUUGGUGGGGUACGGGCUCGUUGGGCGCGACGAUCCGUAGCUGGUUUGAGGACGACCACACACUGGGACUGGAGACACGGCCCAGACUCCUACGGGAGUAGCAGUGGGGAAUUUUGACAAUGGGGGAAACCCUGAUCCAGCCAUCCCGCGUGUGCGAUGAAGGCCUUUCGGGUUAAAGCACUUUUGGCAGGAAGAGACGGCAGCGGAUAAUACCCUGCAAACUGACGGUACCUGCAGAAUAAGCACCGGCUAACUACGUGCCAGCAGCCGCGGUAAUACGUAGGGUGCAAGCGUUAAUCGGAAUUACUGGGCGUAAAAGCGUGCGCAGGCGGUUCGGAAAGAAAGAUGUGAAAUCCGCUAGAGUUUGUCUCAACGGGCAUUUUUAACUACCGAGCUAGAGUGUGUCAGAGUGGGAGGUGGAAUUCCCGCGUGUAGCAGUGAAAUGCGUAGAUAUGCGGAGGAACACCGAUGGCGAAGGCAGCCUCCUGGGAUAACACUGACGCUCAUGCACGAAAGCGUGGGAGCAAACAGGAUUAGAUAAUUCCGGUAAGUUCACGCCCAUAAACGAUGUCAAUCAGCUGUUAGCCUUCGGGCUCCUUACAAAGCGCAGCUAACGCGUGAAGCGACCGUGCCUGGGGAGUACGGUCGCAAGAUUAAAACUCAAAGGAAUUGACGGGGACCCGCACAAGCGGUGGAUAAGCGUGGAUUAAUUGAUGCAACGCGAAAACCUUACCUACCCUUGACAUGUCUGGAAUCCCGAAGAGAUUUGGGAGUGCUCGCAAGAGAACCGGAACACAGGUGCUGCAUGGCUGUCGUCAGCUCAGCCGUGAGAUGUUGGUUAAGUCCCGCAACGAGCGCAACCCUUGUCAUUAGUUGCUACGAAAGGGCACUCUAAUGAGACUGCCGCCGGUGACAAACCGGAGGGAAGGUGGGGAUGACGUCAAGUCCUCAUGGCCCUUAUGGGUAGGGCUUCACACGUCAUACAAUGAAGCCCGGGACAGAGGGUCGCCAACCCGCGAGGGGAGCCAAUCCCAGAAACCCGAUCGUAGUCCGGAUCGCAGUCUGCAACUCGACUGCGUGAAGUCGGAAUCGCUAGUAAUCGCGGAUCAGCAUGUCGCGGUGAAAGAGCAGUUUCCCGGGUCUUGUACACACCGCCCGUCACACCAUGGGGAGUGGGUUUUACCAGAAGUAGUUAGCCUAACCGUAUGAGUGGCGAUUACCACGGUAGGAUUCAUGACUGGGUGAAGUCGCACAAGGUAG
rnacentral:rRNA from 1 species